GAUGAACGCUGGCGGCGUGCUUAACACAUGCAAGUCGAACGAAGCACUUUAUUUGAUUUCCUUCGGGACUGAUUAUUUUGUGACUGAGUGGCGGACGGGUGAGUAACGCGUGGGUAACCUGCCUUGUACAGGGGGAUAACAGUUGGAAACGGCUGCUAAUACCGCAUAAGCGCACAGCAUCGCAUGAUGCAGUGUGAAAAACUCCGGUGGUAUAAGAUGGACCCGCGUUGGAUUAUCUAGUUGGUGAGUUAACGGCCCACCAAGGCGACGAUCCAUAGCCGACAUGAGAGGGUGACCGGCCACUUCGGGACUGAGACACGGCCCAAACUCCUACGGGAGGCAGGAGUGGGGAAUAUUGCACAACGGGCGAAAGCCUGAUGCAGCGACGACGCGUGAGCGAAGAAGUAUGUCGGGAUGUAAAGCUCUAUCAGCAGGGAAGAUAAUGACGGUACCUGACUAAGAAGCACCGGCUAAAUACGUG
rnacentral:rRNA from 1 species